CAGCAUAAGAGACUAGAAGCCUAUGAGACCACCAGUUCAGAUAGCCAAACCGGAGGUAAAGAAUCGACAUAUAGCAUAGCUGAAUGAGAACUCCUCGCACCACGUGCCAGUUUGUCCGCCAUUGUGUUUUGUGCCCUUGAGAUAUGUCUGAUCAUGAAGUUGGGGAAGAAAGUCUUACUUCGACAGAAUUCUUCCAUGUGUGUAGCGAACGCCGGCCAUUCUUCAGGUGAGAACACCAUCUUCACCGAUUGAGAACAAUCCGUCACAAAUACUACAUCUGAGAACUGCAGGGUCUUCAUGCACUCCAUCGCCCAAAUCAGAGCUUCACAUUCAGCAUCUAAAGGUGAUAGACUACGUCGAAGGUUCAUUGUGCCCAUCA
rnacentral:lncRNA from 1 species